rnacentral:rRNA from 1 species
CCUACGGGAGGCAGCAGUGGGGAAUAUUGCACAAUGGGGGAAACCCUGAUGCAGCGACGCCGCGUGAGUGAAGAAGUAUCUCGGUACGUAAAGCUCUAUCAGCAGGGAAGAUAAUGACGGGACCUGACAAAGAAGCCCCGGCUAACUACGUGCCAGCAGCCGCGGUAAUACGUAGGGGGCAAGCGUUAUCCGGAUGUACUGGGUGGAAAGGGAGCGUAGACGGCAGCACAAGUCUGGAGUGAAAUCCCGGGGCUUAACCCCGGAACUGCUUUGGAAACUGUGCGGCGGGAGUGCAGGAGGGGUAAGCGGAAUUCCUAGUGUAGCGGUGAAAUGCGUAGAUAUUAGGAGGAACACCGGUGGCGAAGGCGGCUUACUGGACUGUAACUGACGUUGAGGCUCGAAAGCGUGGGGAGCAAACAGGAUUAGAUACCCUAGUAGUC